rnacentral:siRNA from 1 species
GGUAGAUACCACAUACGACUAUAU